GGGCACUGAGAACUGAGCUCAGGUCCUCUGCAAAAGCAGUGCCAGCUCUUAACCAUGAAGCCAUCUGUCCAGCCCUCAGCACUACUCUUCAACUGAAUACCAGCUGUUAAUUAUCAUUAUUAAGGAUUAUUAAAAAUAAGGACCCAGAUGUUCCAGGAGCUCUUCAGUUGCUUUGUAGAGUGGUCUGGAGCCUACUCAACAAUCUGGGGAUGAAAGGACUCUCACCUGGAGAAGCUGAGGCCUCAAGGGGGAACAAUCUGACAGAGAGAGCCUCAGAUCGGCUGCAGCUGUUCUUGACCCGAUGACUUCUGGCUUCGUGGAAGGAGUUGUUUAUCGCCCGCGAGUUACGAACGCACCGUAGGCAGCUGGGAGAUGCGUUAAGCAGCAGGUCCGGUGUGGACAGUCACCCCUCGGAUCAGCUGAGAAUUCUGACCUUGGGUCAAACCAGUUUGUGUUUUGACCUCUUCCUUUCGAGUGUGUAUUUUAAUGACUUGAAAUUCCCCCCCUUGGGUUAUCUACGUCACUCUCUUUUGAUAGACAGAAAGAAGAAGGAAUAUCAGUGGCCUCCUUUUCGAGGACUGUGACUCAACCAUCACAGAACAGCAAGAAGCACAUCAGAUGCCACCCUCAAUGACUCCAAAAGACAACCCUAGGAACGGCUUCUAUGAAACAGAGCAACUCGUGUGGGGAUGGAUCUCGCCACCAGCCCCAGGAAGAUCUUUAUCACCCCUUUAAGCUUCCGGUAGUGCCAGACAAAUUUUGGUUUGUGACAGUGUCCCCUCCACUCUCUUUCUCGGGCACAUGCCUUCUCUUUGGUAAACUCACAUUUCCUGGGUUAUUUUGACCAGCCCUACUUCCCCAUGCUGAGUGGUUCACUAUUAAAAAUCACUUGUACAACACCAGCCUUCCCCACCAGACUAUCAUUCUGACAUGCGCAAGAUGCGUGCCUGUCUUUCUCCUGGACGCAAGUCCAGUGCCCAGUGCACAGCCUGCUGAGGAAUAGUCAUACGUCAGAUACUUACGGAAUGAAAAAAAAAAAGACAAUAGACACAAACCUUCACCAUUCCGUGAACACAAGAAGUCUGGUAAUAAGAAACAAGAAGAAGCAGAGGGCUGAAUGGAUGGCAGGCAAUCACCAGCUGGUUGUAAAGACAAAAGAGGCUGGGUUCUCUCACCCUUGGGAGGGGGCGAGCAGGGCAGAAGGGUUCUGGACACUCUUGUUCACCUAGCAACCUGACUUAAUGGGCAGAACUCCAAGGUUGGCUGCCUUGUCCCCACUUCACUGAUGUUUGAGUGUCCAAAUGGCCUGAGACCCACAAAGUCUAUAUGUAGCUGUGAUGUUUGCACCCAAGACCAUGUAGCUUCACAGAUGGGAGGCAAGACUCUGUAGACCCGGGCAAGGCUAUGCCCAACCUCAGUCAAGACUGCUGCUCGCUCCCCUUGGAUUGUAAAUGGGUUUUUGCUCACAGUCGGAAGAAUGAAGCACCCAGAUUGGAACUCGAGGCCCCCAGGGUCCAAGGGAGGAAGCACCUCUGACCUCACCUUUCCAGUGAGCUGGGGUAGCAGUCAGGGCUUGCAGAGAGGGCUAUUGCAGUUUCCUUUCUGUCCUCAAGUCUUCACCAUGCUCUCCCAGAUCAGCUUGUAGAGACACUAGCCAGACUGGCAGGGGUCCCGGAGAGGAGGGUACCAGCUGGAGCCUGCUUCAACAGCACAGCCAGAGUUGCGCACAGCAGGGCUGGGGCUGCCUGUCUUUCCUGGUUGCAGCCAGAGGCUGGCUGUCCCCAGUGGAUUCUUUCCAUUUGUAAUCCUAGUCUCUGUUCGCUUUGCCCAGACAUCCCACCCUCGGAGGACGGUGCCAUUGUGUGCCCCUGGUAUGGAAGAGUUGUAUUAGUCCUGGCUUGUAUUCCUUGUUGUAGAAACUUCUGGGGACACUGAUAGAGAGAUCCCUCACGCGAAGCUUUUGCUCCCAGCCCCCAUUUGUCAGUGUCUGAACAUAACCACUUAUGCACGACUAAAGAUGCUAACUGGAAACAGGAGCCUUGGAGAAGUGGCCACUGGGCAUGGGCUUUGAACCCUACAGAUCACUGGUCCCUUAGAAUCCUUGUCCUGAGUGAAUGGGGGGAGAAUCCUCUCCUGGGCUCUGAAUCAUGACUGUGUUGACACAGGAGGAGCAACAAAGGAUCAGAGUAGCUAGAGAGGGCUGCAACCUGGGCUUCUGGCCCUUGGAGUCUGUUAUAGACAUGUUACAGACAUGUGUUAUAGGCAUGUUAUAGACAUACAGCAUUCUCUGCAUCCUCA
rnacentral:sRNA from 1 species